UACGGGGGGAGCAAGCGUUGUUCGGAUUUACUGGGCGUAAAGGGCGCGUAGGCGGCGCAACAAGUCACUUGUGAAAUCUCCGGGCUUAACCCGGAGCGGCCAAGUGAUACUGUCGUGCUAGAGUGCGGAAGGGGCUACUGGAAUUCUCGGUGUAGCGGUGAAAUGCGUAGAUAUCGAGAGGAAUACCGAUGGCGAAGGCAGGUCUCUGGGCUGACACUGACGCUCAUGCACGAAAGCGUGGGGAGCAAACAGG
rnacentral:rRNA from 1 species